UCCUAUGUGCAGCAGGAAGCCUGGGGUUUCUGUCUUUCAAUACAUGGGAAAGACAGCAGCCUAUCUCUGUGACCACUACACAUUCCAGCCUGUCUAGAGUAAAGCAGCCAUUGGAUCCAAAGCCAUCAUUAAUUCCUCACUUAUCUGACUCCAUUCUAAUGCUGAUGGUUGCAUUAUGAAGAGGUUUUGAAUGCAGAGAAAAUGGUGGCAACCUAAGUUUUGAAUCCUGACUGAUCUACCAAAAAAAAAUGUUUGAUAAAUGAAUUAUAUCUCAGUAAAGCUGCCACAAAUAAAUGUGUAUUGGAAAGCUCAGCAUCCUCAUAUUCUAAAUUUUAGACAUAUACUAGAGCAAUUAGAUCAUAAAGCCAAAAAUGCAUGGACAACAUGUAUGACAAAAACAGGGCAAAGGAUGAACCAAAGAACCUUAAAUUACAAGGCAUAAGACGUAUGCCUUUUUAGCAUCUGUGUAAGAGAAGACAAGGGGAAAGCAAUGAGGUUGCAUUUGAUGGAUUCGAGAACGGAAGAACCCCAAAAUAGAUGAAACUGGACACCACAGCAUGUCAGUUUGGUAACAACUGGUGAAAUGGUCAGGUGUCUGCCCUCCCAAUUGCUAAUGAUGUGAGGGGCCCAUUAUAAGGCUUAAAAUGACUGCAACAGUACAACCCCUGCGGGAUCUCAACACUGCCCCCCAAGCUGUCUCCUCAUAUAAAGACACACAAAAGCGAUAGAAAAAAGAAGAGGAUCAGAGAAGGUGGAUGCAUGUAGAGCACAGAGCUAGGAAAUAUCAGCAAGCUGCUGAAGGACCUCAAAAAGGAAAUCUCACAUUAAGUGAAACAUGAGACUGUCUACUAUUGAUCAUAAUAUGUAGGUGUCCAGAUGAUGGCUUACGAAUUUGGACUGGAUGUAUGGGCUGGUGGGAAAAGCCUGCCAAAAAUCUGUUCCUUCACUGUUGAUUUUGAUGGAAGACUGAACUUAUAUUGGUUGGAGACAGCUGUUGAAUAUGGUGCUGGCUGCAGUGUUGUUGGAAUCUAAAAUUCAAGU